CUUCCGGAGCUAACGCGUUAAGUCGACCGCCUGGGGGAGUACGGCAGCAAGGUUAAAACUCAAAUGAAUUGACGGGGGCCCGCACAAGCGGUGGAGCAUGUGGUUUAAUUCGAUGCAACGCGAAGAACCUUACCUAGUCUUGACAUCCAGAGAACUUAGCAGAGAUGCUUUGGUGCCUUCGGGAACUCUGAGACAGGUGCUGCAUGGCUGUCGUCAGCUCGUGUUGUGAAAUGUUGGGUUAAGUCCCGCAACGAGCGCAACCCUUUUCCUUUGUUGCCAGCGGUUCGGCCGGGAACUCAAAGGAGACUGCCAGUGAUAAACUGGAGGAAGGUGGGGAUGACGUCAAGUCAUCAUGGCCCUUACGAGUAGGGCUACACACGUGAUACAAUGGCAUAUACAAAGAGAAGAGACCUCGCGAGAGCAAGCGGACCUCAUAAAGUAUGUCGUAGUCCGGAUUGGAGUCUGCAACUCGACUCCAUGAAGUGGGAAUCGAUAGUAAUGGUAGAUCAGAAUGCUACGGAGAAUACGUUCCCGGGCCUUGUACACACCUCCCAACACACCAUGGGAGUGGGCUCAAAAAAGAGGGGGUAGUUUCCCCCUUGGGGAGGGAGCUUCCAUUUUUGGCCCCUUUUUCUCUUA
rnacentral:rRNA from 1 species